rnacentral:rRNA from 1 species
UACGUAGGGGGCUAGCGUUGUCCGGAAUCAUUGGGCGUAAAGCGCGUGUAGGCGGUCCGGUAAGUCCGCUGUGAAAGUCGGGGGCUCAACCCUCGAAUGCCGGUGGAUACUGUCGGGCUAGAGUGCGGAAGAGGCGAGUGGAAUUCCUGGUGUAGCGGUGAAAUGCGCAGAUAUCAGGAGGAACACCAAUUGCGAAAGGCAGCUCGCUGGGGACGUUUACUGACGCUGGAGACGCGAAAAAGCGUGGGGGGAGCAAAACAGGAUUAGAU